AAUUGAAUAGAUUCUUGAUAUUUUCCAGAAUGAUCUUCAGUUACAAUAGCUAUUAUUAUACAGCUACCAGCCCUUUCUAUAACUGUUCCAGCCAAUUACAGCUUUCAGUUCUUCAGUUAACUACCACAUACCACCCUGACUAUAUAUUACUUUCACGUACAAUCAUAGCCUCUUAUUCUUCUUAUUAGUUAUAACAUUCCUCACUUCUUAAAAUCAUUCUUGUCCUUAUGAAUGAGUGAUGGAAACUGUAAUAUAAUAGUUAAACUGUUGCCUCCAUAUCCAGAA
rnacentral:misc_RNA from 1 species